CCCACGGAGAAAAGGAAACUGCCUUCUCCCAUUAAGAUACAUAACGACAAGCAGGACAAAAGUGAAAGGAAAGAGGACGAAAGUGAAAGGAAGGAAAACCAAAGUGCCAGGCUAGAUAACCGAAGUGCCAGGAAAAAGAACCCAAAUGGCAGGGUAGUGAAUCGUGGACAAGCAAAGACGGGAAUAAACAAGACGGCUUGGCAACUAAUACAGGAGCGGAGAUCUCGAGGUGAUUGGUAAUUUAUUCUAGCUUGGGGAUACAAUAAGUUUGCAUGUAAUGAUGUAUGCAUUUUACGUAAUGCAGAAUAAAUUCAUUUGUCUAAAACUGUGUUCAUUGGAAAUUUUCAUCAACAUGAAACUUACUGUAAUGGCAUCAUCAUAAUAUAAAUUUGUAAUAAUUUAGAAACAAGGUAAGAUAUAUAUACAUCUUUUUUGAUAUACAAUUGCUUUUGAAGAUUUAGAGCAAAGAGAUUGUAGGGUUAAUUAUUGAUGGAUAUUUCUCAAUGACAUUUAUGAUUGAUAUUAGCUGCUCUUGCCGUCUAAAAUUUGGAGUGUUUUUUGUUAUGGUGAGCAUAAAGUUUUUCAGACAAACGCAAACAAAUCAUUUCUGAGUCGGAUUCUCCAAGUAGCUACGAUGAUGAAGAGAUAAGGACAAGACACAAAAAAGCGCGUCAUUCGAAAAAAGAGAAAGGAGCCGGUCCAGGAAAAGAAGCCCAUCAAAGAAAAAAGAUCUGUUUCCCAUUGAUGAAGGACGUUUUCAGAGGAAAGUUCUGUCUCUCUUAACGGAGAUACGUGACUCAGUAAAAAGUGCAGGAAACGUGUCAGUGGAACAGUGCAGGGGAUUACAGAUUAAGCAACUGUCAACUCUUGAUGAGCUGAAAGAGUUUGAACAGUUUCUCGAGGAGAGGGACAACCUUGAAAAACUGACAUUCACAUUCAACAGAAUAGGAGGGAACUCUGCUGCCGAGCACAUUAAGAGGAUAAUGGAG